GAUGAACGCUGGCGGCGUGCCUAAUACAUGCAAGUCGAGCGAAAAGACGAUGAGCUUGCUCCUCUGCCGUUAGCGGCGGACGGGUGAGUAACACGUGGAUAACCUUCCUCUAAGUCGGGGAUAACUUCGGAAGACCGGAGACGAUACUGGCGCAUAUAAUCUACCGCAUAGUUCAAUAGUGAUAGACGGUUUUGCUGUCACUUAUAGCUGUAUCCGUGUCGGAUUAGCUAGUUGGUAAGGUAAAGGCCCACCAAGGCGACGAUGCGUAGCUGAUCUGAGAGGAUGAUCAGCCACACUGGAACUGAGACACGGUCCAGACUCCUACGGGAGGCAGCAGUGGGGAAUAUUGGACAAUGGGCGAAAGCCUGAUCCAGCCAUACCGCGUGGGUGAAGAAGGCCUUCGGGUUGUAAAGCCCUUUUGUUGGGAAAGAAAAGCAGCAGGUUAAUACCCCGCUGUUCUGACGGUACCCAAAGAAUAAGCACCGGCUAACUUCGUG
rnacentral:rRNA from 1 species